rnacentral:rRNA from 1 species
AACUCGGGUGAAGGAACUAGGCAAAAUGGUGCCGUAAAUUCGGGAGAAGGCACGCUGACACGUAGGUGAAGUGAGUUACUCAUGGAGCUGAAGGCAGUCGAAGAUACCAGCGGGCGGGAACUGUUGAUUAAAAACGCAGCUCUGUGCAAACACGAAAGUUGACGUAGGCGGUGUGACGCCUGCCCGGUGGCGGAAGGUUAAGUGAUGGGGUCAGCGUAAGCGAAGCUCCUGAUCGAAGCCCCGGUAAGCGGCGGCCGUAACUAGAACGGUCCUAAGGUAGCGAAAUUCCUUGUCGGGUAAGUUCCGGCCUGCACGAAUGGCGUAAUGAUGGCCAGGCUGUCUCCACCCGAGACUCAGUG